GUUGCCAGCAUUCAAGUUUGGGCGACGUCUAAGGUGACUGCCGGCUAAAAGUCGGAGGAAGGUGGGGAGUGACGUCAAAUCAUCAUGCCCCUUAUGACCUGGGCUACACACGUGCUACAAUGGGCGGUACAAAGGGUACGCGAACCCGCGAGGGGGAGCCAAUCCCAAAAAGCCGCUCUCAGUUCGGAUUGCAGGCUGCAACUCGCCUGCAUGAAGCCGGAAUCGCUAGUAAUCGCGGAUCAGCAUGCCGCGGUGAAUACGUUCCCGGGCCUU
rnacentral:rRNA from 1 species